ACAGUGAGCAUUCCGUGGUUGCCAGGAGAUGGUGAUUGAUCUGCAGAUGAAAAGGUAGAGUCUAUGAGGAGAGGAUGUUGGUUUGAGAUGCGUGGGAAGUCUGGAUAGAAAGGCUCAAUAACUAGAAAUAGUUAUUUGGCCGGGAUAAGCAGACUUUGGCCGGGAUUCAAUGCAAGACGCAUUAAAACGCAGUGCACUACAACAUACUUUUUAAAGGUAAUUUACGCUUGAGCCAAAAUGAGCAGGAUUUACCGUGAAUGUGAUCUGCGCAAAUGUUGGGGAAAAUAACUUUAAAAGACUCAUUGUUGGCUGUAUAGGCCUAAUGAGCAGACCUCAUAGGGCUCUGGUUAAAGAUAGUAUACUAUAUAGGAAAUAGGGUGCCAUUUGUAACACAGACUUUAUAAUAAACCUUCAUAAAGACAGUUAUGAUAAUUGUGCUGCAGGGUUUUUGUGAGGCCCUAGGAGUCAGAGGAGAGCUGAGGAGAGGGGAUGAGAGGUCAGCAUAUACAUUGUGGUGCAGGGUUUUUGUGAGGCCCUAGGAGUCAGAGGAGAGCUGAGGAGAGGGGAUGAGAGGUCAGCAUAUACAUUGUGGUGCAGGGUUUUUGUGAGGCCCUAGGAGUCAGAGGAGAGCUGAGGAGAGGGGAUGAGAGGUCAGCAUAUACAUUGUGGUGCAGGGUUUUUGUGAGGCCCUAGGAGUCAGAGGAGAGCUGAGGAGAGGGGAUGAGAGGUCAGCAUAUAUAUUGUGGUGCAGGGUUUUUGUGAGGCCCCAGGAGUCGGAGGGGAGGAAGAGUUCUGGCACGUGCUGAUCUCUCUCUGUUCUGUCGGUUCCGCUCGGCUACACAGGGAAAUAGAACGUUUCCCACAUGCACACACACAACGGAAUGCCCUUGCACUCAAGCCAAGCGUCGCCUAGCAACUGCACUGGCAGGCAACAUGGUGUGUGUGUGUGUGUGUGUGUUUGUUUGUGUGUGUGAAGGGGAGGGGAGGGUGGAUUUAGUCAGUGUAUACGAGAUGAUGUGUAAUUGUGUAUAAGUGAGUGUUGAAGUUAGUGGGUUGUUUUCAGGUGUAUGUUAGAGACAGAGAGAGAGAGAGAAAAGAGGGAGAGGGUGGGAGGGAAAGGCUGAGGGAGGGAAAGGCUGAGGGAGAGGGACCGAGGGAAAGGCUGAGGGAGAGCAUUAAACAGUAAUAUAUACUGAGUUGCGUUCAGGUUUGCGUUGAGUUGUGUUGGUUGUGUGGUGUUGUUCAGGAUGCUGUGUUUAAAAGUUCCCUCACAUUAUCGCUCCUAGCAGUGUGUGACCGGUGUUAACCCACUUCCUUGUCUCCAUGGAGAUGGUGAUAAAGUGUGACAGUGUCCUGGGGCGGACAGAGGAAGCCAGGCAGAAUUUACACACUGCACCACACGGUCAAUCUGGCCAGAGGGACGAGAGGACGAGGAGUCUGCCCUCUCUCUCUCUCACUCUUUAAUUCAGGCCAGGAUUAAACCAAAUGCACAUUGUCAACAAGCUCAUUCCACUGUGGACGAUGCACAUUUUAAAGAAAAUAUUUCCAACGUUUGCGGAGAUUCACGGCAAACAUUGAGGGUGUUGGCUCAACCAUAAAUGACCUUUAAAAGUCAAAAACAAUGCGCAAGUCCCAACUCCCGGUCUCAAUCUCUUUAUUCUUGUAUUCAGAUAUCUUAACUCUCUACCUUUCUCUCCAGGUGCGUGG
rnacentral:lncRNA from 1 species